rnacentral:rRNA from 1 species
GACGUAGGAUGCGAGCGUUGUCCGGAUUUAUUGGGCGUAAAGAGUUCGUAGGUGGUUUGUUAAGUCUGAUGUUAAAGAUCGGGGCUCAACCCCGGGAGUGCAUUGGAUACUGGCAGACUGGAGUGUAGUAGAGGCAAGCGGAAUUCCUGGUGUAGCGGUGAAAUGCGUAGAUAUCAGGAAGAACACCAGUGGCGUAGGCGACUAACUGGGCCGUAACUGACGCUGAGGAACGAAAGCCAGGGGAGCGAAUGGG